AGCCUUCUGUACCGGUGCUGAGAUUUCCUCACAUACCACACUACAAGGGCUGAUCAGAAUCCCAAGAUAAGUGAAGCG
rnacentral:pre_miRNA from 1 species